GAUGAAGAACGCAGCGAAAUGCGAUAAGUAAUGUGAAUUGUAGAAUUCAGUGAAUCAUCGAAUCUUUGAACGCACAUUGCGCCCGCCAGUAUUCUGGCGGGCAUGCCUGUCUGAGCGUCAUUUCAACCCUCAUGCCCCUAGGGCGUGGUGUUGGGGAUCGGCCAAAGCCCGCGAGGGACGGCCGGCCCCUAAAUCUAGUGGCGGACCCGUCGUGGCCUCCUCUGCGAAGUAGUGAUAUUCCGCAUCGGAGAGCGACGAGCCCCUGCCGUUAAACCCCCAACUUUCCAAGGUUGACCUCAGAUCAGGUAGGAAUACCCGCUGAACUUAAGCAUAUCAAUAAGCGGAGGA
rnacentral:misc_RNA from 1 species